UGAGGAAUUUUCUACAAUGGACGAAAGUCUGAUAGAGCAAUACCGCGUGUAGGAUGAAGGCCUACGGGUUGUAAACUACUUUUCUCAAGGAGAAAGAAAUGAUGUUACUUGAGGAAUAAGCAUCGGCUAAUUCUGUGCCAGCAGCCGCGGUAAUACAGAAGAUGCAAGUGUUAUUCGGAUUCAUUGGGCGUAAAGCGUCUGCAGGUGGAUAUCUAAGUCUUUUGUUAAAACUUUAGGCUCAACCUAAAAUCUGCAAAAGAAACUGGAUAUCUGGAGUAGGGGAGAGGUAAAGGGAAUUUCCGGUGGAGCGGUGAAAUGCGUAGAUAUCGGAAAGAACACCAAUUGCGAAGGCACUUUACUGGAACCGCACUGACACUCAGAGACGAAAGCUAAGGGAGCAAACAGG
rnacentral:rRNA from 1 species